GUAAUAGCUCACUGGUCGAGUCGGCCUGCGCGGAAGAUGUAACGGGGCUAAACUAUGCACCGAAGCUGCGGCAGCGAUAUGUAAAUAUUGUUGGGUAGGGGAGCGUUCUGUAAGCCUGUGAAGGUGUGCUGUGAGGCAUGCUGGAGGUAUCAGAAGUGCGAAUGCUGACAUAAGUAACGAUAAUGCGGGUGAAAAACCCGCACGCCGGAAGACCAAGGGUUCCUGUCCAACGUUAAUCGGGGCAGGGUGAGUCGACCCCUAAGGCGAGGCAGAAAUGCGUAGUCGAUGGGAAACGGGUUAAUAUUCCCGUACUGGUGAUAAUUGCGAUGGGGGGACGGAGAAGGCUAGGCUAUCCGGGCGACGGUUGUCCCGGUUUAAGGAUGUAGGCAGGUGAAUUAGGCAAAUCCGGUUCAUUAUAUGCUGAGGUCCGAUGACGAGUCACUACGGUGAUGAAGUAGCUCAUGCCCCGCUUCCAGGAAAAGCCUCUAAGCUCUAGAUUAUCAUUAAUCGUACCCCAAACCGACACAGGUGGUCAGGUAGAGAAUACUCAGGCGCUUGA
rnacentral:rRNA from 1 species